GAUGAACGCUAGCUACAGGCUUAACACAUGCAAGUCGAGGGGUAACGAGAGGGAAGCUUGCUUUCCUUGUCGACGACCGGCGCACGGGUGAGUAACGCGUAUCCAACCUGCCCCCAACUAGGGAAUAACCUUGCGAAAGUAAGACUAAUACCCUAUAAUUUCCUCAGAUGUCAUCUGACGAGGAAUAAAGAUUUAUCGGUUGUGGAUGGGGAUGCGUCUGAUUAGCUUGUUGGCGGGGUAACGGCCCACCAAGGCAACGAUCAGUAGGGGUUCGUAGAGGAAGGUCCCCCACAUUGGAACUGAGACACGGUCCAAACUCCUACGGGAGGCAGCAGUGAGGAAUAUUGGUCAAUGGGCGGAAGCCUGAACCAGCCAAGUAGCGUGCAGGAUGACGGCCCUAUGGGUUGUAAACUGCUUUUAUACAGGAAUAAAGUUAGCCACGUGUGGUUAUUUGUAGGUACUGUAUGAAUAAGGACCGGCUAAUUCCGUGCCAGCCGCCGCAGUAA
rnacentral:rRNA from 1 species